rnacentral:rRNA from 1 species
CCACACUGCCAAGAAAAACUUCUAGCGAGACGAAAUCCGCCCGUACCGUAAACCGACACAGGUAGGCGGGGAGAGAAUCCUAAGGUGCGCGGGAAAACCCUCGUUAAGGAACUCGGCAAAUUGCAUCCGUAACUUCGGGAGAAGGAUGGCCCUGAGUAGGCGAAGUGCAGAAACGCACGGAACAGAAAAGGGUGGCAGAAAAGAGGCCCAAGCAACUGUUUACCAAAAACACAGGUGCCUGCGAAAGCGAAAGCUGAAGUAUAGGUGCUGACGCCUGCCCGGUGCUGGAAGGUUAAGGAGAGAGGUUAGCGCAAGCGAAGCUUUGAACUGAAGCCCCAGUGAACGGCGGCCGUAACUAUAACGGUCCUAAGGUAGCGAAAUUCCUUGUCGGGUAAGUUCCGACCCGCAUGAAAGGCGUAAUGAUUUGGGCGCUGUCUCAACGAGGGGCCCGGUGAAAUUGAAAUACCUGUGAAGAUGCAGGUUACCCGCGACUGGACAGAAAGACCCCAUGGAGCUUUACUGCAGCUUGAGAUUGAAUCCCGGUGGCAGACGCACAGGAUAGGUGGGAGGCUUUGAGAUAGUGACUUUGGUUGCUAAGGAGCCGACGUUGGGAUACCACCCUUCUGUUGCUGGGAUUCUAACGCGAAGAUUAACAACCUUGCGGACCAUCUCAGGUAGGCGGUUUGACUGGGGCGGUCGCCUCCGAAAGAGUAACGGAGGCGCCCAAAGGUUCCCUCAGGCCGGACAGAAACCGGCCGAAGAGUGCAAAGGCAGAAGGGAGCUUGACUGCGAGACAGACAAGUCGAGCAGAGACGAAAGUCGGGCUUAGUGAUCCGGUGGUACUGCGUGGAAAGGCCAUCGUUCAACGGAUAAAAGCUACCCUGGGGAUAACAGGCUAAUCUCUCCCAAGAGUUCAUAUCGACGGGGAGGUUUGGCACCUCGAUGUCGGCUCAUCACAUCCUGGAGCUGGAGUAGGUUCCAAGGGUUGGGCUGUUCGCCCAUUAAAGUGGUACGCGAGCUGGGUUCAAAACGUCGUGAGACAGUUUGGUUCAUAUCCAUCGCGGGCGCAAGAAGUUUGAGGGAGGCUGCUCCUAGUACGAGAGGACCGGAGUGGACGGAUCAACGGUGUACCAGUUGUCACGCCAGUGGCACGGCUGGAAAGCCGCAUCCGGAAAGGAUAAACGCUGAAAGCAUCUAAGCGUGAAGCCCGUCCCAAGAUGAGACUUCUCAUCAGCAAUGAGUAAGACCCCUUAAAGACGAUGAGGUUGAUAGGCUGUGAGUGGAAGAGCCGCGAGGCUUGGAGCGACGCAGUACUAAUAGGUCGAGGUCUUAACU